UGAGGUUUUUUUUGGUUAGAUUGCAUCCAAGUAGCUACCAAAACCCAGGGAUCUGCAGCGUCCAGAUUGUCGUCACAUGGAUGUGAUACGUUCCACAGCACCAUUUUAAAGAAGAGGGGUUUCCUCACUUGAAUAGAAAGUUAUAGAAGGUGACAAGAAGACUGAUUAUGGAGGAACAUCUAAAAGGAAGAGUGAAUAUGGGAGGUGGAACAGGUCAAGCAGGCUUCCCUCCCCAGUACCAUAACCACAGUCAAACAACACAACGUAGUACUCACCAGAUAGCCAAGGAGCACCUGGAUAAUGUGAGAUGCAGAGUGAACUUUGCCAGAUAUGAAUUUAUUUCUUUAGAUGUACAACAUGCAUUUGACUUGGAGUUUGCUAAAUACCCAGCAGCCAGCUACAGGAAACAAACAGGCAGCUACAGUUUGGAGCACCGAUGAGAUUAGACUACAGACCCUCAGCAAUGUACAUGUUUCAGGCUCACGUUUCAUAGA